rnacentral:rRNA from 1 species
UAGGGAAGUCUUCCACAAUGGGCGCAAGCCUGAUGGAGCAACACCGCGUGAGUGAAGAAGGGUUUCGGCUCGUAAAGCUCUGUUGUUAAAAGAAGAACACGUAUGAGAGUAACUGUUCAUACGUUGACGGUAUUUAACCAGAAAGGAACGGCUAAAUACGUGCCAG